CACGUAGUCUGGGAUAUGUAGGAGAACCCGCUGAACUGAA
rnacentral:rRNA from 1 species